rnacentral:misc_RNA from 1 species
AAGUCGUAACAAGGUUUCCGUAGGUGAACCUGCGGAAGGAUCAUUAAGGUAAAGUUAAUUUAACACUCAUGUGAUCUCUAAUCUAAUUAGAUGAACUGGGGUGGUUGAUUAACUAUAAAACUUUCUAUGUGUAUUGUAUUGUUUAGGCGGAUUACUAAUUCAUUAGUAAUUCACCAUAUUACUCUAAAAUUAAGUCAUUAUAUACCAAAAGAUACAACUUUUAACAAUGGAUCUCUUGGCUCUC